ACCACCACCGGCGAACCAGUCCCCGCGGAAGCGCCGCUCGCGGCGCGCGGCCCGGGGGACGACCCGGGGACGCGCGUCCCGGCGAGCUACGAACAACCCUCUGGGCGCGGCGAGCGCCAAGGAAUCGAAGCGGAAAGGGCGGCCGCCCCGCCCGGUGCGGGCACGCGCCGAAAGGGGAUGCGGCACCGCGGCCGGGGAUCCGCCGCCCGUCUGUGAAGUCUCUUAGACGACUCUCGGCAACGGAUAUCUCGGCUCUCGCAUCGAUGAAGAACGUAGCGAAAUGCGAUACUUGGUGUGAAUUGCAGAAUCCCGUGAACCAUCGAGUCUUUGAACGCAAGUUGCGCCCGAGGCCACUCGGCCGAGGGCACGCCUGCCUGGGCGUCACGCCACCCAUCGCCCCCCCGCGGCAUUCCCAUGCCCCGCCGGGGAGCGGAGACUGGCCGUCCGUGCCCGAGGGAUCGGCGCGCGGUCGGCGGAAAAGGAAGGCACCGUGCGGCGCGACACGGCGUGUGGGGGUUGAGAGGCGAUCCGUCGCCGAUCGUACGUCGCGCCCGCAUUCCGCCGCGCGGUGCGGCCCGUGGGACCAGACUCCGCCCGCUGCCGCGGGCGCUCGGACCGCGACCCCAGG
rnacentral:rRNA from 1 species